AUUGAACGCUGGCGGAAUGCUUUACACAUGCAAGUCGAACGGCAGCACGGACUUCGGUCCGGUGGCGAGGCGCGAACGGGUGAGUAAUGUAUCGGAACGUGCCCAGUCGUGGGGGAUCACGUAGUGAAAAUUACGUUAAUACCGCAUGCGAUCUAUGGAUGAAAGCGGGGGAUCGCAAGACCUCGCGCGAUGGGAGCGGCCGAUGUCAGAUUAGGUAGUUGGUGGGGUAAAGGCCCACCAAGCCAACGAUCUGUAGCUGGUCUGAGAGGACGACCAGCCACACUGGAACUGAGACACGGUCCAGACUCCUACGGGAGGCAGCAGUGGGGAAUUUUGGACAAUGGGCGAAAGCCUGAUCCAGCCACGCCGCGUGCAGGAUGAAGGCCCUCGGGUUGUAAACUGCUUUUGUACAGAACGAAAAGGUUUCUACUAAUACUAGGAGCUCAUGACGGUACUGUAAGAAUAAGCACCGGCUAACUACGUGCCAGCAGCCGCAGUAA
rnacentral:rRNA from 1 species